AACGAACGCUGGCGGCAUGCCUAACACAUGCAAGUCGAACGAGACCUUCGGGUCUAGUGGCGCACGGGUGCGUAACGCGUGGGAACCUGCCCUUAGGUUCGGAAUAACUCCCCGAAAGGGGUGCUAAUACCGGAUAAUGUCUUCGGACCAAAGAUUUAUCGCCUUUGGAUGGGCCCGCGUUGGAUUAGCUAGUUGGUAGGGUAAAAGCCUACCAAGGCGACGAUCCAUAGCUGGUCUGAGAGGAUGAUCAGCCACACUGGGACUGAGACACGGCCCAGACUCCUACGGGAGGCAGCAGUGGGGAAUAUUGGACAAGGGGCGAAAGCCUGAUCCAGCAAUGCCGCGGGAGUGAUGAAGGCCUUAGGGUUGUAAAGCUCUUUUACCCGGGAUGAUAAUGACAGUACCGGGAGAAUAAGCUCCGGCUAACUACGUG
rnacentral:rRNA from 1 species